AUUCCAGCUCCAAUAGCGUAUAUUAAAGUUGCUGCAGUUAAAAAGCUCGUAGUUGAACUUCAGAUCCGGCUGGGUGGUCUGCCUAACGGUAUGCACUGUCCGGCUGGGUCUUACCUCUUGGUGAGCCGGCAUGCCCUUUAUUGGGUGUGUCGGGGAACCAGGACUUUUACCUUGAGAAAAUUAGAGUGUUCAAAGCAGGCCUAUGCCCGAAUACAUUAGCAUGGAAUAAUAAAAUAGGAUGUGCGGUUCUAUUUUGUUGGUUUCUAGAGUCGCCGUAAUGAUUAAUAGGGAUAGUUGGGGGCAUUAGUAUUCAGUUGCUAGAGGUGAAAUUCUUGGAUUUACUGAAGACUAACUAUUGUGAAAGCAUUUGCCAAGGAUGUUUUCAUUG
rnacentral:rRNA from 1 species